AAGGAUCAUUAUUGAAAUAAACCUGAUAAGUUGCUGCUGGUUCUCUAGGGAGCAUGUGCACACUUGUCAUCUUUGUAUCUUCCCCCUGUGCAUCUUUUGUAGACCUGACUAUCUCUCUGAAUGCUUUAGCACUCAGGAUUGAGGAUUGACUUUCUGUCUCUUCUUACAUUUUCAGGUCUAUGUUUUUUCAUAUACCCUAAUGUAUGUUUAUAGAAUGUAAUCAAUGGGCCUUUGUGCCUAUAAAUCUAUACAACUUUCAGCAACGGAUCUCUUGGCUCUCGCAUCGAUGAAGAACGCAGCGAAAUGCGAUAAGUAAUGUGAAUUGCAGAAUUCAGUGAAUCAUCGAAUCUUUGAACGCACCUUGCGCUCCUUGGUAUUCCGAGGAGCAUGCCUGUUUGAGUGUCAUUAAUAUAUCAACCUUCUCUGGUUGGAUGUGGGUUUGCUGGCCUCUCGAGGUCAGCUCUCCUUAAAUGCAUUAGCGGACAUUUUGCCAACUGUUCAUUGGUGUGAUAAUUAUCUACGCUAUUGACGUGAAGCAAAGUUCAGCUUCUAACGGUCCAUUGACUUGGACAAAUUUAUUUUUAUUAAUGUGACCUCAAAUCAGGUAGGACUACCCGCUGAACUUAAGCAUAUCAAUAAGCGGAGGAAAAGAAACUAACAAGGAUUCCCCUAGUAACUGCGAGUGAAGCGGGAAAAGCUCAAAUUUAAA
rnacentral:rRNA from 1 species